rnacentral:rRNA from 1 species
UACGUAGGGGCCGAGCGUUGUCCGGGGUUAUUGGGCGUAAAGCGCGCGCAGGCGGCCUCGCGCGCCCGACGUGAAAGCCCCCGGCUUAACCGGGGAGGGUCGUUGGGGACGGCGGGGCUUGAGGGCGGGAGAGGUCGGUGGAAUUCCCGGUGUAGUGGUGAAAUGCGUAGAGAUCGGGAGGAACACCUGUGGCGAAGGCGGCCGACUGGGCCGACCCUGACGCUGAGGCGCGAAAGCCAGGGGAGCAAACGGG